rnacentral:rRNA from 1 species
CGGGAGGUGAGUAUGUCGUAGGAACUCGCUGAGUGGGAGGGGAUACUACUGGAAACGGUAGCUAAUACCGCAUAACGUCGCAAGACCAAGAGGGGGACCUUCGGGCCUCUUGCCAUCGGAUGUGCCCAGAUGGGAUUAGCUAGUAGGUGGGGUAACGGCUCACCUAGGCGACGAUCCCUAGCUGGUCUGAGAGGAUGCCAGCCACACUGGAACUGAGACACGGUCCAG